rnacentral:rRNA from 1 species
GGUGGAGUGAUUUGUCUGGUUUAUUCCGAUAACGAACGAGACUCUAACCUGCUAACUAGUCUUGCGAUACUUGUGUCGUACGGACUUCUUAGAGGGAUCAGUGGUGUUCAGCCACACGAAAUUGAGCAAUAACAGGUCUGUGAUGCCCUUAGAUGUCCGGGGCUGCACGCGCGCUACACUGGCAAAAUCAACGUGCUUGUCCUUCCCCGAAAGGGGCGGUAAACCAUUGAAAAUUUGCCGUGAUUGGGAUCGGAAAUUGCAAUUAUUUUCCGUGAACGAGGAAUUCCAAGUAAGUGCGAGCCAUCAGCUCGCGUUGAUUACGUCCCUGCCCUUUGUAC